ACUGGAUGGCUGAGUAGAAGGAUGCAGGAGGUGUACCCUGCUGCUGAGCCGUCACUGAAAGGUAAAGACAAAUGAGAUUAUGGCUGGAAUUAAUCUGAAAGGGAAAGGUGGAAAGAAGCCAUUUGUGGAAUCAGACAUUUGCAAAAUUGUUACAGAAAGUGUGACGAAGACACAGAAGACUACAGAGGUAUCAGGCAUUGGGAAAGGUCCUGAAGUAUGCGCCUGAUAGGCGAGCUGGAGGUGGCAGCCACAAGAAUUAAGGGACAGACUGACGGGAUAAUAGGCUUGAUUUGGAUGGUGGUGUCUGCCUGGGAAUUUGGCUUUUUGCAAUCCUCUCAUUGCCCUGUCAGCCAAUCAAUUGACUGCUCAGGUGGACACCACCGUUAUAAAACCUGCCUGCCUUUGUUUGUCAGGGGGGGUUGUUUGUGGGUUUUUGUUCCUGUUGUAAAUCUGUAUUUUUAUAUUUUUCAAAGUAUAACUACUUAAAGGGCCAAAGCCUUAUUUUUUUGGUUAUUAUUAUUAUUAUUUAUUUCUUAGCAGACGCCCUUAUCCAGGGCGACUUACAAUCGCAAGCAAAUACAAAUACAUUCAAGUGUUACAAUAUAAGUCAUACGUUAAAUAAGAUGUUGGUUCAUGUGCAUGACAAUUGUAGUCUCGACUAUCUC